CCUACGGGAGGCAGCAGUGGGGAAUAUUGCACAAUGGGGGGAACCCUGAUGCAGCAACGCCGCGUGGGUGAAGAAGUACUUCGGUAUGUAAAGCCCUGUCAGCAGGGAAGAAAAUGACGGUACCUGACCAAGAAGUCCCGGCUAACGACGUGCCAGCAGCCGUGGUAAGACGUAGGGGGCAAGCGUUAUCCGGAUUUACUGGGUGUAAAGGGAGCGUAGACGGGUAGGCAAGUCUGGGGUGAAAGCCCGUGGCCCAACCACGGGACUGCUUUGGAAACUGUGUGGCUGGAGUGCAGGAGGGGUAGGCGGAAUUCCUGGUGUAGCGGUGAAAUGCGUAGAUAUCAGGAGGAACACCGGUUGCGAAGGCGGCUUACUGGACUGUAACUGACGUUGAGGCUCGAAGGCGUGGGGAGCAAACAGGAUUAGAUACCCGUGUAGUC
rnacentral:rRNA from 1 species